UAGCUCGAGAGAGACAGAGCGCGAGAGUCACACACAGGGAAACUCCUGGUACGGGUGCCAAAAUCUGCUUUUCAGAACUCGCUUGGAUCUCUCAGUAUUCGCAUUUGGUUCCUUGCUUUGCAGCAAUUCGGUCUCUGUUUUCAUCUCAUUAUUCUUUUCUGAGCUGUAAUAAGAUUUAUUUCCAAGGUUGCUUGUCUGAUUCAUUGGACGGUAGUUAAAAUGGAGUUUGAUGAGUAUGAUUACCUGGAAAAAACGGUUGAGAAUACUGAACCCCAUACAGCAAAGGAAACUGCCAAUGGUGGUGGUGAUGCCAUGAAGCCUGGGGAUAAAGAUAGCAGUCGUAGUUCAAAACAUAAGAGCAAUGAGAAGGAUGAUGGGGAUGAUGACCGACAUCGCUCAAAGCGCUCAAAAUCGGGAGAUGAAUCUCGUGAUUACCGGCAUAAAGAUAGGGGUUCAUCUCGUCAUCGCUCAAGAUCUAGAGAUGCAGAGAGGGAGCGACACCGGAGUAGCCGGGAACAUAGAGAUAGGGAGAAGGAGAGAGGUAGAGAUAGGGAGAGGGACAGAGAUAGAGAGGAGAGAAAUGGGAAAGAGAAGGACAGGGAUAGAGAUCGUGAGCGUGAUCGUGAUCGAGACAGGAGGGAGCGUGAUCGUGACAGUGAAAGGGACAAGGAGAGGGAAAGAGAGCGGUUACGUCGAAGCAGGAGUCGAUCAGAAAGGCAUCAUAGUGAUUUGGAUGAAAGGGACAGAGAGAGGAGCCGAGACAGGGACUAUAAAGAAACAGAAAGGGAAAGGGAGUCGAGGGAAGGAGACACAGAAAGCAGGAGAAGUAAGGAAAAAAGGGAAGAAGCUGCAGAGCCAGAAGCUGAUCCUGAACGUGAUCAGAGAACAGUAUUCGCCUAUCAGAUAUGUUUGAAGGCAGAUGAGAGAGACGUCUAUGAAUUUUUCUCAAGGGCUGGCAAGGUGCGAGAUGUUCGUCUCAUAAUGGAUCGCAAUUCAAGGCGUUCAAAGGGAGUUGGGUAUAUUGAGUUCUAUGAUGCAAUGUCAGUCCCAAUGGCCAUAGCACUCUCUGGGCAGCCUCUUCUUGGUCAGCCAGUAAUGGUGAAACCUUCAGAAGCUGAAAAAAAUCUUGUUCAGUCAACUACAACUGUGAAUGCAGGAUCUGGUCCAUACUCUGGAGGGGCUAGAAGGUUGUAUGUUGGGAAUCUGCACUUUAACAUAACAGAAGAUCAGCUUCGUCAGGUUUUUGAGCCAUUUGGUGCUGUGGAGUUGGUUCAAUUGCCUCUUGAUGAAACUGGACACUGCAAAGGCUUCGGGUUUGUUCAGUUUGCCCGUCUUGAAGAUGCUAGGAAUGCCUUGAAUUUGAAUGGACAAGUAGAGAUUGCUGGUCGGCCAAUCAAGGUGUCGACUGUUACUGAUCAAACAGGAAUGCAAGAUGGUGGAACAAAUGCUGGUGAUUUUGAUGAUGAUGAAGGUGGUGGCUUGGCAUUAAAUGCUCGUUCUCGAGCUCUUCUGAUGCAGAAGUUGGAUCGCAGCGGCACUGCCUCGAGUAUUACUGGUUCACUAGGAACUCCUGCCAUCAGCACUGUCCAUACUGUACCAACAGCACCAAUCCUUGGUGCUGCACCUGUAGUUUCUCCUGUUGUUGCUCCUCUUAUGUCAGGUUCUGUUGGUCUACCAGGACUUACAGGUACACCAGUUGCUGCUGCACCAAUUCCUGCUGUUGAUACAAUUAGUAUCCCAAGUGAAUGUAUAUUAUUGAAGAAUAUGUUUGAUCCAAAAUCAGAGGCGGAACCAGACUUUGAUUUGGAUAUCAAAGAAGAUGUUGAAGAUGAGUGCUCUAAAUUUGGAAAUUUGAAGCAUAUUUACGUGGACAAGUAGGUGUUAUUUUGAUAUGCUGUUGCAUGGUUUCUUUAAUGAAGCAAAAUUUAGAAACCUAUCUUCCCUUGAUCUUAGGGCUUGUACAAUAUUUUCUGCCAUGUUAAAAGUCCACUUUUCCUUCUUCAGCAUCAUUGAGAACUCCAUUUCACAGUUGGAAUUUGUGAUAGAUAUUUGCAUAUUCAAGACCUUUUUUGCAAUUAUAUAUUUCUACAUUCAUUGUUCAUUUACUUUUUCUUCUUGAAACAGAAAUAGUGCUGGUUUUGUGUAUUUGCAAUUUGAUAAUACACAAGCUGCGAUGAAUGCACAACGGGCUCUUCAUGGAAGAUGGUUUGCUGGGAAGAUGAUCACUGCAACACCAAUGAUGCCACAGAUCUAUGCAGCCAAAUUCCCAGAUAGCAGAUAGAAUUAUAGAUUUUGGACAUGCGAAUUAUGUAAGUUUGUGUUGCAUUGGAAAGAUGUUCGUAUUAGCUGGGUCAGCAUCAAUUUCUCUCAUCCUGGUAAUGGAAGAAGUUAACUUCUGUUAUGCUCUCAUUUGUAAUUUUUUUUUUUUUAUGAACACAUUUGAAAUUCUCAUCAACUCUCUUUAUUCUGAGCUAUUUGUGAAUGUACUAAUAUUUGCAUAAGUUGACCGUUAAAAUUAAGGGUGAGCAUUAUUUGGUUCAAAAAAAAAAGAAAAAGAUCGAACUGUAUUAAUUAGGACAUUCGAUUUGGUUUAUGUAGAAGUUUGGUUUGGUUCGGUUUCGGUUUUAACUUUUAACUUUUACAUAUUUCAGUCUAUUUGGUUUGGAAUUGAGGAAAAAAAAAUUGGUUGAAGUGAAUCAAAACUAACUAUUGUUUAAAACGCAGCCGUUUUAGUUAUUGUAAAAUUCUUGUCACUCCUUUGUCCUUGUGAACCUUUCCAUCUUUUUCUGCUUCAAUGCCCAGUGUGCUAGCUUCCCCUUUCCUUUCUUCUCAUUUCUGACUUUGUCCACGACUACACUUGCCAUGAGCCUCAAACCAAAACCUCUCCGGCCUCCUCGACUCCGGCAAACUCAUCCUUGACAGCCCAUUGCCUCUCUAUUCUCCAUCUUGUCAUGUCUGUUUGCUCCCAUGGCAUCAAGUCACGGAUUUGACGGCGAUGUCUCCAUGGCUCCUCUAUAUGGCAUUGAUGCCUCCCUCUUCAUUUACCCCCAUCCAACCUGCCUGUCUCUCCUCCGUCUUCACCGUUGAUUUAUUUGAUUGAUGGACCUGUAUAUAGGAUUAGUGAGAGCUAUGUUGAAGUUUGGGAAGUAAAUGGGAGAAUGGAGAGCUCUAAGCAGCAGCAGCAGGAGCUAGAGAGCAGAGAAUGGAGUUUGAAAAGAUGAAUAAUUAUGGUUUAGGUUUCCUUCUGGAUGCUUUUUAUGUGGUGUUUCUAGUGUUGAAUUUGGUUCAAUUGUGAAUUGAAACUAAAUUUGUAAUUGAUGAUUUUGGCUUUAUACAAUUUUGAGUCGAAAUCUUUGCAGAUAAUUAUUGAUUUGUUUCAAAGUUAAUGGCAUUUUGGUGUUUAGAAGUUUGUUCUCUGUUGGGAAUGCAAGGAAAAUAUAAAUUUUGCUUUUGUUAUAUUCUGUUUUGGUAUAAUAUAGUUUUUCUUUGGUAUUCUGCUCUUGCUCUCUGAAAAUAGGCAUCCUCAACUGAAUUUCUGAAACAAACCGAAUUCAAUUUGAAUCUGAUUAUUUUUGAAUUAUUUUCUUGAAAAAAUUUUGGGAAUGGUUUUUGAAGUUUGCAGUUAUUUGAUUUUGCUAUCUAUUUGGUUGCUUGAGAAUGGAUUGAUAAUAUACUGGAGUGGCUCAAGCUUUGGUUGUCAGGUGUUUGUUGAAAGUUCUACAUGAAAAGAGUAG
rnacentral:misc_RNA from 1 species